AAUUAAAUCGGAAAAAGUCUCUAAAUCUCUAUUAAAUGGAGCAUAGUUAGAAAUUUCUAGUUUAGUUAAAUCGUUCGUCAAUGAUUCAGAUAUAUCAGUCUCAGACGGAAGAGCUGAAAUAUUCGGAUUUACAUGACGAAUUUUAUUUGAAAGAGGAUAUAGUUGCAGCGAUUUUUCUUCGCAAGAAUGUUUUUUUUCAGACAUUAAAAGCCCAUUCUUCCUAGAUAGGGCUCAACUUUCUUCGAAAUAUACAAAAUUCCAAAAACGGCUUCGAUAGGAUGAAGUCAGGUACUGACGCAUAUAAAAGGUUAGGAUAGGUAUUCUAAAAAUGCUUAUUGACUAAGACUGCCACAUUGAUUGACAGUUUAAAAAAAAAAAGAAAAAUAAUGAAAACUAAGCAUUACAUUUCAUGGAUUUCAGCUAUCACCAUAUAGACCAGCUGCACUAGAGUCGUCCGAAGAGGGAGAACUAUCUUUUCCAUAGAUAUCUGAGUCUUCUGGUAAUUCUUUAGAUUCCUCUUCAUUUUCUUCUUUUCUCUGGCUUUUAAAUAAUGAUGUUUCUUCUUCUUCUUGGGAAUAGGGUCCACUGGCAGGAGGAGGAAGAGGAGAGAGAUUGUCUUCAGAUGGAUUUUCGACAAUAUUGGAAGUAUAUGGUACGCUGUUAAUGCUUGGAGAGUAAGAAUCUACUUGAGGAGAAUAAGCAUCAUCACUGUUUGGAGAACUAGACGGAGGUGAUGUUGUUUCUACAUUAUGUUUGCCAGCAGUAGAACUUUUAUCUCCAAAACCUGCAUCGGUCAAGGUAGAGGUAGCUGUUGUACUUUCCUUAUUCUCUAAAUUAGAAAUUAUGGAUUCAACAGAUUUUAGGCUCUCUUCUUCCUCUGAAAGUAGCUUUUUUUGUUCUUCUAUAAGCGAUUCCAAGGAAGUAAUGAGUGUGGAUCGGGAUUCGAUGCAAGCCUGAUAAUUACCUUUACAUGAUUCAGAGGCUU